UUCCUUUUCCAUUCCAAUUGCCACGACCCCCUUGGUUGCCACGACUAUUCACAUAAUUAAUCUCGGCCGGGACUGGUCCCAGAAGACCCGAGAGGGGCGCGGGAGAAGACACGGCAGUGGGCAUCGUGUUCUGGACUGCUACAUAGAGACGAUGCUCCUCAUGGCCGACCAAAAGAGAUUGAAGUUCCUCAGUUGUCAUGGUCACGCCAUUGUUGAUCUAGAAGGUCUUCUUGUGCAGCGAUUUGGGUGAGGAAUGCAGUGGCAAGUGACGUCCAGGCUUCUGAGGACGUUUUAGCAGAGAGAAUAGUUACACCAAUUUCUUCGGUGACUGCCAACAUUAUGCAGUUUGACAGGUAUGGUUGGAAAGGACGAAGGAAGAGUAGUGAAAUUUGAAGAGGAAGAGGGAAGAACUGUGAGGGUUGAGGAGGAAGAACUAUCAGCCAUUGAUGCCGAAGAGAAGAAAGAUAGCAGAUAGGUGAGUAAGAAGAAUAAGCAGAAGCAAGGAACCGAACCAAGUGGGUGUUACCCUGCUCAGGCUCUGAUACCAUAAAGAUUAGGGCAAGAAUGGUUGAGUACCUCAGUUUAGGUGAGGUGAGUAUAUUCUAUUAUAUAGACACUGUGCAUAAUUGCUAAAGGAAAGUACAUAAAUGUAUAUCGAUACAUGCCUAGAAUACAACAAUUAUAAAUGGAAAUCUAUGAUCGCAUAUCAUCCUCUAUUAGAAACGUUUUGAGAUUCUACGCAAACUCAAACAGCCGCUUAGCAGCAGAGUUGCAAGUUGAGGACAG